rnacentral:lncRNA from 1 species
CAACCAAAAAUUAAGUAGAGAUGAAGAAGUAUAUGAUUUAGUGCUGGACUGAGUACAAAUAACAUAUUCUUGCUUGUCAUAAAUGUUAGCUUGAUGAUAUAGAAGAAUAUACAUAUAAACCAAAUGGAAAGAAAUCUUGCAAUACUCAAAGUAAUUAGCUAUGAAGUGCUAAAUUUUUUAUUGAGUUGUUGCCUUCAAUUCCAUUGAUAUCUUCCUCAUAUUUGGAAUGAGAUAAGUAGCAUAAUGAGAUAUCGAGUCCCCCAUUCCACAUCUUGAAGAGAAAUUCAAAUCUGGCAAAACAAUAUUGACAUAAUAAGCCCAAAAAUACUAAAGAAAUUAAGAAAAGGUCGAAAUUCACCACGAAUUGAAGGCCACCAUGAGAGCCUAGCCUGUUAUAACAAAGAGCAUGAACCAACGCUAUUUUCUAUGCGUACAUAAAUAUCAUAUGCAUGUAUAAAAGUUUUAAUAGACUUGUAUUUGAUAGCUUUAAGAAGAGAAACAUAGAUGGAAAAUCCAAGAACAAAAUACACAUUCUAAAAUACAGUUAACUCCAUGAUAAAAGUGGCUUUGAGCCUGAGACCAUUUCUCUUGAAUAUUGAAUCAAUAAAUUCUAACAGAAGGCAGAAAGAGAAAACUCUGCAAAUUUGAAGACAGAGAGAGGGGGAAAAGAAAGAAAAGUUCUCAGUGUUGUUGGAGGAAAACAAUGCUUUUAUACUGACCAUCAAGCAAGGAAUUGCAAGCAUCGAAGGGAGAAUUCAUAUCUUGCUGAUUGCACUUUAAUUUUUAUGGUUCCGAGUUGAUAAUUUUUAUAUGUGAAAGGAUUGAAUAAGCAUUUAUUUUAAAUAAAACUAAUAGUUUGACUUUAUAGAAGGAUAUUGUCAGUGACGAGCCAGAAUUUUCACUAAUUGGAUCAGAAUAUAAAAAAUAAACUCACAAAGAAGCCAAAGGAUAUCAAUAUAUAGUAUAUAUAUACAUAAA